rnacentral:lncRNA from 1 species
GGCGACCACACUUACCGUCUUGCACUUGCACUUUGGGAGGGGGAAUGGGUUAAAUUUACAUUAAUUUAUGAUUCCACUAGCACAUUGUUAAGUUUUAUUUCUUUUAUUAUUUUCUUAGUUUUGGUAUGUUCCCUAAAUUAGCAUCGUAAUUACAUUUCCUACGUCCCUGCCUAUUCGCACCAAAGUAAGCCAUGAAAAGGGGUAUGAAUCAACACAGCCUCGUUUACCCUAGCCUCUCGUGUGUAACUUUGGUUGUGCGGUCCAAACGUAACUCCCUUUUGGCUUCUCCACGUGGUGAUCGCGAGCCCUUAGCUGCUUACUCUCUUCUAGGCGGCGCUGUCGUAGCUGCCCACGCCUGUGGCUGGAGCCUUGGCCCAUGGUGAAAUUACUAAUAGGUGACGGAUUCACCACAGUGCCUUCUCAUGACAGGCGUCAAAGGAUCAGCACAGCUACGAAAAGAGCAAUUCUCCAAGAUCUGCAGCAAAUGCUUCAUGAACAUCAUGCAUUGGUCAGGCUGUUCAAGACUGCUUUAGAGCGCAUGCCAAGUGAUUGCAAUUCGGUCAAGUCAAUUAAAUACAUUUGCAAAUAUGUCACGAAAGGGAGCGACAUGGCGGUUUUUGGUAUCCAAACAUCCAAUACCAA